UAGGGAAUCUUCCACAAUGGACGAAAGUCUGAUGGAGCAACGCCGCGCGAGUGAAGAAGGGUUUCGGCUCGUAAAACUCUGUUGUUAAAGAAGAACAUAUCUGAGAGUAACUGUUCAGGUAUUGACGGUAUUUAACCAGAAAGCCACGGCUAACUACGUGCCAC
rnacentral:rRNA from 1 species